CCUACGGGAGGCAGCAGUGGGGGAUAUUGCACAAUGGGGGGAACCCUGAUGCAGCGACGCCGCGUGUGGGAAGACGGUCCUCUGGAUUGUAAACCACUGUCCCCAGGGACGAAAAUGACGGUACCUGGGGAGGAAGCUCCGGCUACCUACGUGCCAGCAGCCGCGUUAAUACGUAGGGAGCGAGGGUUGUCCGGAAUUCCUGGGUGUAAAGGGAGCGUAGGCGGGGAUGCAAGUUGGGUGUAAAAACUACCGGCUCAACUGGUAGUCGCACUCAAAACUGCAGCUCUUGAGUGAAGUAGAGGCAGGCGGAAUUCCUAGUGUAGCGGUGAAAUGCGUAGAUAUUAGGAGGAACACCAGUGGCGAAGGCGGCCUGCUGGGCUGUUACUGACGCUGAGGCUCGAAAGUGUGGGGAGCAAACAGGAUUAGAUACCCGAGUAGUC
rnacentral:rRNA from 1 species